rnacentral:sRNA from 1 species
GAGGAGAACUGGACGUUGUGAACAGAUUAGCUGGUAAAUGUCCUCAUAAAAGAUCCAAAAAAUGAGACUUCUAGCAAAGAUUAUUUGCCUUAUGUUAUGGGCUAUUUGUGUAGCAGAAGAUUGCAAUGAACUUCCUCCAAGAAGAAAUACAGAAAUUCUGAUAGGUUCCUGGUCUGACCAAACAUAUCCAGAAGGCACUCAGGCUAUCUAUAAAUGCCGCCCUGGAUAUAGAUCUCUUGGAAAUAUAAUAAUGGUAUGCAGGAAGGGAGAAUGGGUUGCUCUUAAUCCAUUAAGGAAAUGUCAGAGUAAGUACUUAAUACAUUUGUGAAAUUUAUGAAAACUUUUAGGUGUAAAAAUACUUAAGAUUUAAUAUUGUAGCAAUUAUGCCUGAAUUAUAUCACUAUUGCCAGUCAAAUACAAGAUAAUACAUCAUCUUUUUUUUUUUGUUUUGAGAUGGAGUCUGGCUCUGUCACCUAGGCUGCAGUGCAGUGGCGCAAUUUUGAGAUGGAGUCUCCCUCUAUCGCCUGGCUGGAGUGCAGUGGCGCUAUCUCGG